GUGGGGAAUAUUGGACAAUGGGCGAAAGCCUGAUCCAGCCAUGCCGCGUGUGUGAAGAAGGUCUUCGGAUUGUAAAGCACUUUAAGUUGGGAGGAAGGGCAGUAAGUUAAUACCUUGCUGUUUUGACGUUACCGACAGAAUAAGCACCGGCUAACUUCGUGCCAGCAGCCGCGGUAAUACGAAGGGUGCAAGCGUUAAUCGGAAUUACUGGGCGUAAAGCGCGCGUAGGUGGUUUUGUAAGUUGGAGGUGAAAUCCCCGGGCUCAACCUGGGAACUGCCUCCAAAACUGCAUGACUAGAGUACGGUAGAGGGUAGUUGAAUUUCCUGUGUAGCGGUGAAAUGCGUAGAUAUAGGAAGGAACACCAGUGGCGAAGGCGACUACCUGGACUGAUACUGACACUGAGGUGCGAAAGCGUGGGGAGCAAACAGGAUUAGAAACCCUAGUAGUCC
rnacentral:rRNA from 1 species